rnacentral:rRNA from 1 species
ACGCACGCUGGCGGCGUGCUUAACACAUGCCAGUCGCACGGGAUUUAGUAGACAGAAGCCUCGGCUAACGAUUACUAAUGAGAGUGGCGAACGGGUGAGUAACGCGUGAGCAACCUGCCUAUGACAGUGGGAUAGCCUCGGGAAACCGGGAUUAAUACCGCAUAAAAUCGUAGAAACACAUGUUUUAACGGUCAAAGAUUUAUCGGUCAUAGAUGGGCUCGCGUCUGAUUAGCUAGUUGGUGAGAUAACAGCCCACCAAGGCGACGAUCAGUAGCCGGUCUGAGAGGAUGAACGGCCACAUUGGAACUGAGACACGGUCCAAACUCCUACGGGAAGCAGCAGUGGGGAAUAUUGCACAAUGGGGGAAACCCUGAUGCAGCGACGCCGCGUGAACGAAGAAGGUAUUCGUAUCGUAAAGUUCUGUCCUAUGGGAAGAUAAUGACAGUACCAUAGAAGAAAGCUCCGGCUAAAUACGUG